rnacentral:piRNA from 1 species
GUAGAGAACUGGGAAGUAGUGGCCUU